rnacentral:rRNA from 1 species
UGGGGAAUAUUGCACAAUGGGCGCAAGCCUGAUGCAGCCAUGCCGCGUGUAUGAAGAAGGCCUUCGGGUUGUAAAGUACUUUCAGCGGGGAGGAAGGGAGUAAAGUUAAUACCUUUGCUCAUUGACGUUACCCGCAGAAGAAGCACCGGCUAACUCCGUGCCAGCAGCCGCGGUAAUACGGAGGGUGCAAGCGUUAAUCGGAAUUACUGGGCGUAAAGCGCACGCAGGCGGUCUGUCAAGUCGGAUGUGAAAUCCCCGGGCGCAACCUGGGAACUGGAGUCGAAACUGGCAGGCUAGAGUCUUGGAGAGGGGGGUAGAAUUCCAGGUGUAGCGGUGAAAGGCGUAGAGAUCUGGAGGAAUACCGGUGGCGGAGGCGGCCCCCUGGACAAAGAAUGACGCUUAGGUGCGAAAGCGUGGGGAGCAAACAGG